CAGGGCUCAAAUUAGCACCAGCCACCAGACGAAUGCUGGUGAAAUAUGCAAAUGGCUGGUAGAUUUCCUUCACUCACCAGCCAAAUAACCCUAUUUUAAUCUG